CUUUAAAAAUCUGGAUCAAGCUGAAAAUUGAAACGACACACUGUUUAAUGUGUGUUCGAGUCUCUCAAAUUUUCGCGACAUCUGAAUGUUUACGAACAUCUUCGGG
rnacentral:sRNA from 1 species